CCAGACUCCUACGGGAGGCAGCAGUGAGGAAUAUUGGUCGAUGGGCGAGAGCCUGAACCAGCCAAGUAGCGUGCAGGAUGACGGCCCUAUGGGUUGUAAACUGCUUUUAUAAGGGAAUAAAGUGAGUCUCGUGAGACUUUUUGCAUGUACCUUAUGAAUAAGGACCGGCUAAUUCCGUGCCAGCAGCCGCGGUAAUACGGAAGGUCCGGGCGUUAUCCGGAUUUAUUGGGUUUAAAGGGAGCGUAGGCCGGAGAUUAAGCGUGUUGUGAAAUGUAGACGCUCAACGUCUGCACUGCAGCGCGAACUGGUUUCCUUGAGUACGCACAAAGUGGGCGGAAUUCGUGGUGUAGCGGUGAAAUGCUUAGAUAUCACGAAGAACUCCGAUUGCGAAGGCAGCUCACUGGAGCGCAAACUGACGCUGAAGCUCGAAAAGUGCGGGUAUCGAACAAGGAUUAGAUACCCUGGUAGUCCGCACGGUAAACGAUGGAUGCCCGCUGUUGGUCUGAAUAGGUCAGCGGCCAAGCGAAAGCAUUAAGCAUCCCCACCUGGGGAGUACGCCGGCAACGGUGAAACUCAAAGGAAUUGACGGGGGCCCGCACAAGCGGAGGAACAUGUGGUUUAAUUCGAUGAUACGCGAGGAACCUUACCCGGGCUUGAAUUGCAGAGGAAGGAUUUGGAGACAAUGACGCCCUUCGGGGCCUCUGUGAAGGUGCUGCAUGGUUGUCGUCAGCUCGUGCCGUGAGGUGUCGGCUUAAGUGCCAUAACGAGCGCAACCCCUCUCCUUAGUUGCCAUCAGUUGAAGCUGGGCACUCUGGGGACACUGCCACCGUAAGGUGUGAGGAAGGUGGGGAUGACGUCAAAUCAGCACGGCCCUUACGUCCGGGGCUACACACGUGUUACAAUGGCAGGUACAGAGAGACGGUCCCUUGCAAAACGGAUCAAAUCCUUAAAGCCUGUCUCAGUUCGGACUGGGGUCUGCAACCCGACCCCACGAAGCUGGAUUCGCUAGUAAUCGCGCAUCAGCCAUGGCGCGGUGAAUACGUUCCCGGGCCUUGUACACACCGCCCGUCAAGCCAUGAAAGCCGGGGGCGCCUAAAGUCCGUGACCGUAAGGAGCGGCCUAGGGCGAAACUGGUAAUUGGGGCUAAGUCGUAACAAGGUAGCCGUAG
rnacentral:rRNA from 1 species